rnacentral:rRNA from 1 species
CUGGGUCUAAUACCGGAUACGACCAAUCUCCGCAUGGGGUGUUGGUGGAAAGCGUUAUGUAGUGGUUAUAGAUGGGCUCACGGCCUAUCAGCUUGUUGGUGAGGUAACGGCUCACCAAGGCGACGACGGGUAGCCGGCCUGAGAGGGUGACCGGCCACACUGGGACUGAGACACGGCCCAG